rnacentral:lncRNA from 1 species
GAUGUAUUUCUAGAAGUGUUGGGCCUAGCAAGAUGGCAGCGCGUGUACAAUAAGAAUUUUUAUGAAGUGCCGCUGCGAAGGGUUGCUACAUACCAGUGAGGUGUAUAAGCAUAAUUAUCUCCAGAGAGAGAGACAGAGAGAGAGGAAGGUCCUCCCGCCACAAAGUGCUGAAUGCUUGGGAGCCGAGUGCCCCGAACCUUCCAGAUGCCCAGGAUCACAGAGAAACCCUGCCUGUGCACAUAUGUUGUGUGUGACAGGGGCAGCUGCACUGGUGCUGACGAUAAUUGUAAUGCUGGACUGUGCAAGUAGAGUCUAUAGAGCCUCCAGCCUUCCAGUCUUGACUAGAAGUCCCAGCUUUGCUGAUCAAGCUAGAUUGAUGCAGCAGCCUUGAUGCGAGAACCUUACACCAUGCAUGAAGAUCCCUUCAUCUUCCACUGAGAUGCAGCAACUGCAUAAUUAUUCAUGGACUCUACAUAACAGCAGUUAGGGGAAGGAAGUACAGAAUACUUCCCCAGUUCAAAACUGCAAGUGGAACUAGGGAGACAAGCUAGAAAUGGACCUAAACACAUACUCACUCUUUUGGAGAGUAUCAUUGGGCUCCUCAAGGACGGCAAAAAAGGUCUAAAGAUCUUAUCCAUGUAUCCAGAAGACAGCAUCUCCGGUAUCACGGUGCCCUUCCCCUAACACCAGGUUGUUGCGUCACUUGGUUAGUGUCUAGUCAGGAGGGAAAAACACCUCUUUAUGCACCUACAGAUGGCUUGUGGGAGGGGGCUGGGCAAUAGAUAUGUCUACAUUAGAUAUGGGAAUGAAUAGCAUUACAUUUCAAUUCAGGAAAGAUACCAGUGUGCCUACAAGUAAUCACAUUUGCUUAGAGACAGAAAACGCACUAUUCCAAACCUGCCCUCUUAUUUUGGCUUUGGGUUAAGUCAACUCACAACUCUAUUUUUCCCUUCAAAAUGACAAGGUAAUUUCUGGAUACAUUGCACCUCUCACUGAAGCGGGGAGCUAAAGCCCUGUUGCAAAUAGACUAAUAUUACACCCAUGCACAUAGAGAUACAGAAAUCAUUUAUCUACUACUAAAAUGGAAUCAUGCUGCGGUGAAACAUGGCGAGGGUUUAUUAACCCAGAGCCAACGCUGCACAAGAAAUUUAGUAGGCCUACGCGAACUGGCUAGUAUUUGCCUUGGAUUCGGAUCCAGCUGAACCACCGUCCCAGUUUGAAUCAGUGUCCUGAUUUUGAUUUGGUCUAAUCUGAUUCGGAGAUUUGAUUGCUGCCAAAUCUCCAAAUGGCCCAGGCCCAUCCCCUGCCCGCUCUCCCAGCCGGGCAAUGCCCGCCCCAGCUCCCAGCACUUGUUAAAAAAUAAGCCCCCACUCCCUGGGUGCUGCUGUGCA